rnacentral:rRNA from 1 species
AUGCUGACCGUCUGGCGAUCUGGUGUAGUGGUCCCAGAGGAUGAGGGGCCGGAGUCGGACGAGGUGUGGGCAGAAGAGAUCCGUCUGCAGGCUGUGGAAAUGAUGCGGGAGGCGAGAAUCAUGGCGGACGAGAAGAACCUGGAGGAGGCAAAGUACAAGCUAAUGGAUGCCCAGUACAUGGUGGAGGACCAGUCCAACCCACUUCUCCUGACCGAGCUGCAGGAGCUCCUGGAGCUUUUGAACACCCAGGGACUCUACGAGGCAUAUGGCCGGCCAUACGCGUUGUCAUCGGAGGCUUCACAUGACCGGCAGCGUUUCGCGACGAGGGGAGGGGACAUCUGCACAAUGAGGCUGUUCGCAACGCCGCGCAUGAACAAGUACCUCAAGCAGGCCAAGUUAUUCCAAAGGGACCCAACGUGCACGGUGCCUUCGGCGGACGUUGACGUUAAGGAGGAGAUGGCUCUUAGUAUUAAUCUUUGCCAAUGUGGGCACAAUAAUGAAGAGAAGAUGGGGAGGUUGAGCUUGGAUAUGGAAGAGUAA